GCAAAACUUCUACUCAGAGAUGAAGGAGGUGAGGGAUACCUCUCGGACGCAGGUGCGAAAGAUUCCCUUCACGUCAGCGACGAGGGCCUGGAUGGCCGCCAAGAAGGCAUCAUUCGCCCA
rnacentral:SRP_RNA from 1 species